rnacentral:rRNA from 1 species
GUGGGGAAUAUUGGGCAAUGGGCGAAAGCCUGACCCAGCAACGCCGCGUGAGGGAAGAAGGCCUUCGGGUUGUAAACCUCUGUCCUUGGUGACGAAAAAAAUGACGGUAGCCAAGGAGGAAGCCCCGGCUAACUACGUGCCAGCAGCCGCGGUAAUACGUAGGGGGCGAGCGUUGUCCGGAAUUACUGGGCGUAAAGGGUGCGUAGGUGGCCUUUUGAGUUGGAUGUGAAAUACCCGGGCUUAACUUGGGGGGUGCAUGUAAUACUGGAGGGCUAGAGUGCAGGAGAGGGAAGCGGAAUUCCUGGCGUGGCGGUGAAAUGCGUAGAUAUUAGGAGGAACACCAGUGGCGAAGGCGGCUUUCUGGACUGUAACUGACACUGAGGCACGAAAGCGUGGGGAGCAAACAGGAUUAGAUACCCGAGUAGUCC